GGGAAGGGAGUAGACAAGUGAAGGGAGAGAGAGGAGGGGAGGGAGUAGACAAGUGAAGGGAGAGAGAGGAGGGGAGGGAGUAGACAAGUGAAGGGAGUAGACAAGUGAAGGGAGAGAGAGGAGGGGAGGGAGUAGACAAGUGAAGGGAGUAGACAAGGGAAGGGAGUAGACGAAUGAAGGGAGAGAGAGGAGGGAGAGAGAGGAGGUGAGGGAGAGAGAGGGAGAGAGAGAGAUGGGAGAGAGGAGUUGAUGGAGAGAGAGAAGGAGAAAGGGGAGGGAGAGAGGAGGGAGAGGGGGUAGAGAGAAACAGCGACAGGGGGGUGUCAAGCAGGUAGCUUAACUAAUGGGGAAGGAGAUCGAUAGGGAGAGAGAAUUGGGAUUGGAGAGAACAGAGAAGAGAGAGGAGAGAGACAGACAGACUCCAAUUUCUGUAGUCCAAACCAGAGCCUUAUCUCUGUCUGUGUAAACUCUAUAUAACUCUGCUGUAGUCCAAACCAGAGCCUUAUCUCUGUCUGUGUAAACUCUAUAUAACUCUGCUGUAGUCCAGACCAGAGCCUUAUCUCUGUCUGUGUAAACUCUAUAUAACUCUGCUGUAGUCCAAACCAGAGCCUUAUCUCUGUCUGUGUAAACUCUAUAUAACUCUGCUGUAGUCCAGACCAGAGCCUUAUCUCCUGUUAAGGCAAGGGCUGAUUUCAAGGUUUUACUGCUAACCUACAAAGCAUUACAUGGGCUUGCUCCUACCUAUCUUUCCGAUUUGGUCCUGCCGUACAUACCUACACGUACGCUACCGUCACAAGACGCAGGCCUCCUAAUUGUACCUAGAAUUUCUAAACAAACAGCUGGAGGCAGGGCUUUCUCCUAUAGAGCUCCAUUUUUAUGGAAUGGUCUGCCUAUCCAUGUGAGAGACGCAGACUCAGUCUCAACCUUUAAGUCUUUACUGAAGACUCAACUCUUCAGUAGGUCCUAUGAUUAAGUGUAGUUUGGCCCAGGAGUGUGAAGGUGAACGGAAAGGCUCUGGAGCAACGAACCGCCCUUGCUGUCUCUGCCUGGCCGGUUCCCAUCUCUCCACUGGGAUUUUCUGCCUCUAACCCUAUUACAGGGGCUGAGUCACUGGCUUACUGGUGCUCUUCCAUGCCGUACCUAGGAGGGGUGCAUCACUUGAGUGGGUUGAGUCACUGACGUGGUCUUCCUGUCUGGGUUGGCGCCCCCCCUUGGGUUGUGCCGUGGUGUAGAUCUUUGUGGGCUAUACUUGGCCUUGUCUCAGGAUGGUAAGUUGGUGGUUGAAGAUAUCCCUCUAGUGGUGUGGGGGCUGUGCUUUGGUAAAGUGGGUGGAGUUAUAUCCUGCCUGUUUGGCCCUGUCAGGGGGUAUCAUCGGAUGGGGCCACAGUGUCUCCUGACCCCUCCUGUCUCAUCCUCCAGUAUUUAUGCUGCAGUAGUUUAUGUGUCGGGGGGCUAGGGUCAGUCUGUUACAUCUGGAGUAUUUCUCUUGCCUUAUCCGGUGUCCUGUGUGAAUUUAAAUAUGCUCUCUCUAAUUCUCUCUUUCUCGCUUUCUUUCUUUCUCUCGGAGGACCUGAGCUCUAGGACCAUGCCUCAGGACUACCUGGCAUGAUGACUCCUUGCUGUCCCCAGUCCACCUGGCCGUGCUGCUGCUCCAGUUUCAACUGUUCUGCCUGCGGCUAUGGAACCCUGACCUGUUCACCGGAUGUGCUACCUGUCCCAGACCUGCUGUUUUCAACUCUCUAGAGACAGCAGGAGUGGUUGAGAUACUCUCAAAGAUCGGCUAUGAAAAAGCCACCUGACACUUACUCUUGAGGUGCUGACUUGUUGCACCCUCGACAACUACUGUGAUUAUUAUUAUUUGACCAUGCUGGUCAUUUAUGAACAUUUGAACAUCUUGGCCAUGUUCUGUUAUAAUCGCCACCCCGGCACAGCCAGAAGAGGACUGGCCACCCCUCAUAGACUGGUUCCUCUCUAGGUUUCUUCCUAGGUUUUGGCCUUUCUAGGGAAUUUUUCCUAGCCUCCGUGCUUCUACACCUGCAUUGCUUGCUGUUUGGGGUUUUAGGCUGGGUUUCUGUACAGCACUUUGAGAUAUCAGCUGAUGUAAGAAGGGCUAUAUAAAUACAUUUGAUUUGAUUUGAUUUAUCUCUGUCUGUGUAAACUCUAUAUGUAGACUCAUCUGUAGUCCAAACUCAUCUGACUCAUUUGACUCAUCUGUAGUCCAAACCAGAGCCUUAUCUCUGUCUGUGUAAACUCUAUAUAACUCAUCUGUAGUCCAAACCAGAGCCUUAUCUCUGUCUGUGUAAACUCUAUAUAACUCUGCUGUAGUCCAGACCAGAGCCUUAUCUCUGUCUGUGUAAACUCUAUAUAACUCUGCUGUAGUCCAGACCAGAGCCUUAUCUCUGUCUGUGUAAACUCUAUAUAACUCUGCUGUAGUCCAGACCAGAGCCUUAUCUCUGUCUGUGUAAACUCUAUAUAACUCUGCUGUAGUCCAAACCAGAGCCUUGUCUCUGUCUGUGUAAACUCUAUAUAACUCUGCUGUAGUCCAGACCAGAGCCUUAUCUCUGUCUGUGUAAACUCUAUAUAACUCUGCUGUAGUCCAGACCAGAGCCUUAUCUCUGUCUGUGUAAACUCUAUAUAACUCUGCUGUAGUCCAAACCAGAGCCUUAUCUCUGUCUGUGUAAACUCUAUAUAACUCUGCUGUAGUCCAAACCAGAGCCUUAUCUCUGUCUGUGUAAACUCUAUAUAACUCUGCUGUAGUCCAGACCAGAGCCUUAUCUCUGUCUGUGUAAACUCUAUAUAACUCUGCUGUAGUCCAAACCAGAGCCUUAUCUCUGUCUGUGUAAACUCUAUAUAACUCUGCUGUAGUCCAGACCAGAGCCUUAUCUCUGUCUGUGUAAACUCUAUAUAACUCUGCUGUAGUCCAGACCAGAGCCUUAUCUCUGUCUGUGUAAACUCUAUAUAACUCUGCUGUAGUCCAGACCAGAGCCUUAUCUCUGUCUGUGUACUUAUCGUUAUCUGUCUGUUGGUGUUGUUUAUCCUCCAGGUCUCUGUCUGUUGGUGUUGUUUAUCCUCCAGGUGUCUGUCUGUUGGUGUUGUUUAUCCUCCAGGUCUCUGUCUGUUGGUGUUGUUUAUCCUCCAGGUGUCUGUCUGUUGGUGUUGUUUAUCCUCCAGGUGUCUGUCUGUUGGUGUUGUUUAUCCUCCAGGUCUCUGUCUGUCUGUUGGUGUUGUUUAUCCUCCAGGUCUCUGUCUGUCUGUUGGUGUUGUUUAUCCUCCAGGUCUCUGUCUGUUGGUGUUGUUUAUCCUCCAGGUCUCUGUCUGUUGGUGUUGUUUAUCCUCCAGGUCUCUGUCUGUUGGUGUUGUUUAUCCUCCAGGUCUCUGUCUGUCUGUUGGUGUUGUUUAUCCUCCAGGUCUCUGUCUGUUGGUGUUGUUUAUCCUCCAGGUCUCUGUCUGUCUGUUGGUGUUGUUUAUCCUCCAGGUCUCUGUCUGUUGGUGUUG
rnacentral:lncRNA from 1 species